rnacentral:rRNA from 1 species
AGUGAACGCUGGCGGUGGGCCUAACACAUGCAAGUCGAACGGCAACGCAGUAAGAGCUUGCUAUUCCGGGGGGCGAGUGGCGAACAAGAGGGGGAUAAAUCGGCAUCUACUUUUUGGUGGGGGAGGGAGACGGGGAAUAAAAGCUGAUAGCGCAUACGACCUACGGGUGGGAGCGGGAGAUUUUUGGAUGUUGGACGAUUGAAUGGGCCAAUGUCGGGUUAGCUAGGUGGCGGGGUAACGGCGCACCAAGGCGACGAUGCGUAGCGGGUGUGGGAGGAGGAUCACGCACACUGAGACUGGAACACGGCACAGACUCCGACGGGAGGCCGCAGCGCGGAAGAGUGGACAAUGGGCGCAAGCCUGAUCCAGCCAUGCCGCGUGGGUGAAGAAGGCCUGCGUGUUGUAAAGCCCUUUUGUUGUUAAAGAAGAGUAUCAGGUUAAUACCCCGCUGUUCUGACGGUACCCAAAGAAGAAGCACCGGCUAACUUCGUG